CCUACGGGUCGCACCAGGCGCGAAACCUUUACACUGCGGGAAACCGCGAUAAGGGGACACUGAGUGCCAGCAUAUAAUGCUGGCUGUCCGUAUGUGUAAAAUACAUGCGUUAGCAAGGGCCGGGCAAGACUGGUGCCAGCCGCCGCGGUAACACCGGCGGCCCGAGUGGUGAUCGCUAUUAUUGGGUCUAAAGGGUCCGUAGCCGGUUUGAUCAGUCCAUUGGGAAAUCUGGUGGCUUAACCGUGAGAAUUCCAAUGGAUACUGUCAGACUUGGGACCGGGAGAGGUAAGAGGUACUACAGGGGUAGGAGUGAAAUCUUGUAAUCCCUGUAGGACCACCAGUUGCGAAGGCGUCUUACCAGAACGGGUCCGACGGUGAGGGACGAAAGCUGGGGGCACGAACCGGAUUAGAUACCCUCGUAGUC
rnacentral:rRNA from 1 species